UGAGUAAUGUCUGGGAAACUGCCCGAUGGAGGGGGAUAACUACUGGAAACGGUAGCUAAUACCGCAUAACGUCUUCGGACCAAAGUGGGGGACCUUCGGGCCUCACACCAUCGGAUGUGCCCAGAUGGGGAUUAGCUAGUAGGUGGGGUAAUGGCUCACCUAGGCGACGAUCCCUAGCUGGUCUGAGAGGAUGACCAGCCACACUGGAACUGAGACACGGUCCAGACUCCUACGGGAGGCAGCAGUGGGGAAUAUUGCACAAUGGGCGCAAGCCUGAUGCAGCCAUGCCGCGUGUAUGAAGAAGGCCUUCGGGUUGUAAAGUACUUUCAGUGGGGAGGAAGGCGUUAAGGUUAAUAACCUUGGCGAUUGACGUUACCCGCAGAAGAAGCACCGGCUAACUCCGUGCCAGCAGCCGCGGUAAUACGGAGGGUGCAAGCGUUAAUCGGAAUUACUGGGCGUAAAGCGCACGCAGGCGGUCUGUCAAGUCGGAUGUGAAAUCCCCGGG
rnacentral:rRNA from 1 species